CUGGAGCCCGGUACGGGGGAAGCCUCCCGUGUUCAUUCAGCUUCUUUCCUCACUUUCGGUCCAAAUUUGAGGCUCUUUGUUAAACAGGUUGGAUUUUCUGGCAGAUUUGCAGGGGUUGAGCAGGGUCUGCUGAGAAGAUGAAAAUCCAUUGUUUGCCUGGAGCCACUGCUGACUGGUGACUCCCUUUCACUCAGAGCUACAGCAGCCUCGCAGAGGAGCUCUCAGGUGGUGUUAUCCAUAGGGAGCCUGCAAUCCCAACCUCCACCCCUCACCAGCUGCUUAACCUCUGGAGGCAGCAGCAUUCCUUCCUGGGACAGACUAGGACCUACCUCAGCCUAAGCAGAGACAGAUGAUCUCCAAGUGCCCUGCGCCUGGCCAGAAACUCCUGUGGUUUCUCGGGCUCCUUCCAGGACGUGUCCUUGUGCCUGCGCCUUUCCUUCAGCAGCGACCGCAGCGCAAGAAGCCCCAGUUUCCCGGUGGAAGGAUCUUUAUCGCCCGUACAGAAGAUGAGUGGAUGAGCCGCGAUUCCCGAGGGCCGAGCCAGCCUGGAAAGCAUCCUCUUGAAACGGAGUGGGGUGUGAAUAAAGAGAGUGGCUUUUCCCCACCGCAAAGAUGAGCACUUUCUACUUCACUGCCGCGGAUGAUUAAGGAAAACAAUUGCACUCUGACAGCACGCGUUGACAUUUCCAAAUGAAAAAGGAGUGAAGAACAGAUUCGGGGAGUCUCGCCAUUGAUGAGAAUGGAUUUCCCUGGAUGGCAGCCUUUUUGAAAGUCCGAUUUUACAUAUAUAUAUAUAUAUAUAUAUAUAUAUAAAUUUUUUUUUAAUGCUGCUUCAACAGGCGGGGACAAGCGGUGGGUCAGAGGAGUUCAGGGGAUAAUCUGGGGCACAAAAAUGACUCUACACUCACGAACCCACUGAAAGGCAAACAAGAAAAAGGCCUGAGCGAGCGAGGACAAAGAGGGGAGGGGCAGCUGGGUUAAUGCUGAUAAAUGAAUAUUUGACGUUUAAGUUCAACUCCCAUUUGCUUGCAAAUGAAAACAAUUGUGUCAACACUGCAGGAGAUGGGCCGUGCAGGUUUUUUAUUUAUCUUUUCCCCUCCAAAGGUUAAUUCUUCUUUGAUUUAGAAGGGAAAAAAGAAAGCGAGAAACGUCGAAUUUAAACGAUAGGCAAACACAGAGGGGCUGGCUGCACAUCCCCAGCACAGCCCUGCUCCAGCAGCUGCAGGGGGCUGGAGGUGUACGGGAUGCAGGCAAGGAAGAACUUGCCAGACAGGCUUCCUGCAGGAAUUUUUUGCUCUUUGUGAUACUCGCUUGCAGCCCCCAGGAUGUUUACAGCCGCAUCUUUUUACAGGCAGCAUGUGAUAGGUAAUUUUUAUGUGAAAAAUCUCUUUAGUCCCCUGAUGGAAGAAGUAAACUUAGGUGAGGCUCGUUCUCCCGUGAAUUCUUGGCAUGCCAUAAUACUACUAAUAAUAAUAAAACCGUUGCAAUUCUCCAAAAUAUUAGCUGUAAAACUUGUUCCUUGUUAAAGUUACAAUCAGAAGGUGUAAUAAAGGGAUUAUUCAGGCAUGCAUUACCAUGGAAUGUUCAUCUCCGGGCACUCGGAUUUUGACUCUGUAGUAGUGCCGUGCUUUGCCUGGUAAAUCUCGUGGUGGCUGCUGGGGUAGAAAACACAAACCCUCCUUUAAAUAAUGCAUCCCUUCCCUGCUGUGCCUCUCCUCUGGUUCAAAGACAGUCCCCCUUUAAAGUUUAAUUAAGAGUUUUAUCAUUGC